GGGUACACAAGUAGUUAGCAGGUUGAAGCUCCACCAAAUGAGAAUAAGAAGAAAGCAGUCAUAUAGGUAUGAAUAAAACUGGGAGAGAGCAGUCACAAAAACCUAGAGAAGAGAGUAUAAAAGGAAAAGGGUGAAGUACAUCAUCUUCUUCAGAGAGGUCAACAAAUGUGAGGAUUGAGAAAACGUCAUUGCAUAUGGCAUUUAAGAGGUCAUUAGUAACUUUGGAGAGAAUAAUUUCAUUUAAAUGAUGAGAUGAGAAGCCUGACUGCAAAAAUUAAGAAGAGAGUGAGAAAAAAGGAAACUGAGGUACUCAUUUUGGAUGGGUUUCUCAAGGUGUUUAUCCAUGAAGAGAAGAGAGAUAGAAGAUGAUGACUAGUGGGGAUGAAUGAAUCAAAAUCCCUGGUUCUAUUUUCUCCUUUGUGAAUAAAUCUGGAAUGAUCACUGGCCAGACUUCUCAUUCAGAAUUCCAUCAACAGAAAUGACUAGUAUUCUAUCUUGUGGGUUACAUACAAAUAGAAACUAAUAUUUCUUUGAAAAUGCAGCUGGAAUAUAGUCUUGAGAUUUGUUUGUGGGGAGGAG